rnacentral:rRNA from 1 species
AAUUGCUUUUUUUUAUUAUAGUUUAUUUUUAAUGUGAAUGGGGGUUUUUUAUAAUAUUGAAGAAUUUUUUUAUAUUUUACCUUUGGUAUCAGGGUUUAUUAAAUAAUUUUUUUUUAUUAAUUUUUCCCGAAUUAAUAGGAUUUAUUUUAAUAUGUUUUUUUAUGUUUCAUAAUUAUUUUUAAUAUUAGGGUGGUAGUGAAAUGCUAUACGUUUAUUAAUAUAUCUGGUUUUCUGAGAUUAAAUUAAAUUUUAUAGAAAUUUUAAAUUUGAUUUUUUUUUAUUGAAUUUUUAGUUUUUCUUUAUUCUUUAGGGGAUAAGCUCUAAGGCUUUUUAUAAUUUUUUAUUGUACUAUUUUUUAUAGGCUUGAUAAUAGCCAUUAUUUAAAGUAUGUUCUAAUUUAUUUUUUUUUGUUUUUGAUUUAUUAAUUAUUUAAGUUUUUUAUUGGGAUUUUAGCUUUAAUUUUUAUUGUUGAUUAAUAAUGGUUGAAUUAGUAUAUUCUUAUGUUUUUUAUAUUUUUAUUUAAAUUUUGAUUGAAGGAAUUUGGCAAAUUUUUAGUAUUUCCGACUGUUUAUCAAAAACAUUUUCUGAAGUUUUUAUUUUAGAUAUGACCUGCUCACUGAGGAAUUAAAGAGCCGCGGUAUUUUGACUGUGCAAAGGUAGCAUAAUCAUUAGUGUAUUAAUUGUACACUGGAAUGAAAGGUUUAACGAGAAAAACUCUGUCUCUCAUUAAUAUUUAGAAUUUUAUUUUUUAGUAAAAAAGCUAAAAUGUUUUUUUUGGACGAUAAGACCCUAUAGAGUUUCACUUAAUGAUGUUUAUGUAAUUUGGGAUUAUUUUAUUUAUUUUUAUAUCUUAAUUUUGGUUGGGGUGAUCUGAGUGAUGAUAAAACCACUUAUUUAUAUUUUUCAUUGAUUUUUGUUUUUGUUGGUCUUGUAUUAUUGAUUAAAAGAUUUAAUUACCUUAGGGAUAACAGCGUAAUUAUCUUUAAGAGUUCUUAUUGACAAGGUAGAUUGCGACCUCGAUGUUGGAUUAAGAUUAUUUUUAGGUGCAGAUGCUUAAUAAAAUUGGUCUGUUCGACCAUUAAUGUCUUACAUGAUCUGAGUUCAGACCGGCGUGAGCCAGGUUGGUUUCUAUCCAAAAAUUUUUUUUUAUUUUCUAGUACGAAAGGACCGUGAAUUCUGAUUAUUUUAUUAAAAUUGAUUUUGAUUA